rnacentral:rRNA from 1 species
UACGGAGGGUGCGAGCGUUGUCCGGAAUCAUUGGGCGUAAAGGGCGCGUAGGUGGCCCGGUCAGCGUGCGGUGAAAGCUCGGGGCUCAACCCCGAGUCGGCCGUGCGAACUGCUGGGCUGGAGCACUGUAGAGGCAGGCGGAAUUCCGGGUGUAGCGGUGGAAUGCGUAGAGAUCCGGAGGAACCCCAGAGGCGAAGGCGACGCCCUGGCUCGUACCUGACGCUGAGACGCGAAGGCGUGGGGAGCAAACAGG